AGCAGUGGGGAAUAUUGGACAAUGGGCGCAAGCCUGAUCCAGCAAUGCCGCGUGGAUGAAGAAGGUCUUCGGAUUGUAAAGUCCUUUCGGCGGGGACGAUGAUGACGGUACCCGCAGAAGAAGCCCCGGCUAACUUCGUGCCAGCAGCCGCGGUAAUACGAAGGGGGCUAGCGUUGCUCGGAAUGACUGGGCGUAAAGGGCGCGUAGGCGGAUUGAUUAGUCAGGCGUGAAAUUCCUGGGCUUAACCUGGGGGCUGCGUUCGAUACGGUUGGUCUAGAGUUUGGAAGAGGGUCGUGGAAUUCUCUAGUGUAGAGGUGAAAUUCGUAGAUAUUGGGAAGAACAUCGGUGGCGAAGGCGGCGACCUGGUCCUUGACUGACGCUGAGG
rnacentral:rRNA from 1 species